CCUACGGGUGGCAGCAGUGAGGAAUAUUGGGCAAUGGGGGCAACCCUGACCCAGCCAUGCCGCGUGAGUGAAGAAGGUCUUCGGAUUGUAAAGCUCUUUCGGACGUGACGAUGAUGACGGUAGCGUCUAAAGAAGCCCCGGCUAACUACGUGCCAGCAGCCGCGGUAAUACGUAGGGGGCAAGCGUUAUCCGGAUUUACUGGGUGUAAAGGGAGCGUAGACGGCAGGGCAAGUCUGGAGUGAAAGGCGGGGGCUCAACCCCCGGACUGCUCUGGAAACUGCCAGGCUGGAGUGCAGGAGAGGUAAGUGGAAUUCCUAGUGUAGCGGUGAAAUGCGUAGAUAUUAGGAGGAACACCAGUGGCGAAGGCGGCUUACUGGACUGUAACUGACGUUGAGGCUCGAAAGCGUGGGGAGCAAACAGGAUUAGAUACCCUAGUAGUC
rnacentral:rRNA from 1 species